rnacentral:rRNA from 1 species
GAUGAACGCUGGCGGCGUGCCUAAUACAUGCAAGUCGAGCGAAUGGAUUAAGAGCUUGCUCUUAUGAAGUUAGCGGCGGACGGGUGAGUAACACGUGAGUAGCCUGCCCAUAAGACUGGUAUAACUCCGGGAAACCGGGGCUAAUACCGGAUAACAUGUUGAACCGCAGGGAUGGAAAUUGUAAGGCGGAUUCGGCUGUCACCUAUGGAUGGCACCACGUCGCAUUGGCUAGGUGGUGAGGUAACGGCUCACCAAGGCAACGAUGCGUAGCCGACCUGAGAGGGUGAUCGGCCACACUGGGACUGAGACACGGCCCAGACUCCUACGGGAGGCAGCAGUAGGGAAUCUUCCGCAAUGGACGAAAGUCUGACGGAGCAACGCCGCGUGAGUGGUGAAGGCUUUCGGGUCGUAAAACUCUGUUGUUAGGGAAGAACAAGUGCUAGUUGAAUAAGCUGGCACCUUGACGGUACCUAACCAGAAAGCCACGGCUAACUACGUGCCAGCAGCCGCCGUAA